rnacentral:rRNA from 2 species
ACUUCAGGACGGGGACAACAGUUGGAAACGACUGCUAAUACCCGAUGUGCCGCAAGGUGAAACCUAAUUGGCCUGAAGAAGAGCUUGCGUCUGAUUAGCUAGUUGGUAGGGUAAAAGCCUACCAAGGCGACGAUCAGUAGCUGGUCUGAGAGGAUGAGCAGCCACACUGGGACUGAGACACGGCCCAGACUCCUACGGGAGGCAGCAGUGGGGAAUUUUCCGCAAUGGGCGAAAGCCUGACGGAGCAACGCCGCGUGAGGGAGGAAGGUCUUUGGAUUGUAAACCUCUUUUCUCAAGGAAGAAGUUCUGACGGUACUUGAGGAAUCAGCCUCGGCUAACUCCGUGCCAGCAGCCGCGGUAAUACGGGGGAGGCAAGCGUUAUCCGGAAUUAUUGGGCGUAAAGCGUCCGCAGGUGGUCAGCCAAGUCUGCCGUCAAAUCAGGUUGCUUAACGACCUA